AUUGAACGCUGGCGGCAGGCCUAACACAUGCAAGUCGAGCGGAUGAAGGGAGCUUGCUCCUGGAUUCAGCGGCGGACGGGUGAGUAAUGCCUAGGAAUCUGCCUGGUAGUGGGGGAUAACGUCCGGAAACGGGCGCUAAUACCGCAUACGUCCUGAGGGAGAAAGUGGGGGAUCUUCGGACCUCACGCUAUCAGAUGAGCCUAGGUCGGAUUAGCUAGUUGGUGGGGUAAAGGCCUACCAAGUCGACGAUCCGUAACUGGUCUGAGAGGAUGAUCAGUCACACUGGAACUGAGACACGGUCCAGACUCCUACGGGAGGCAGCAGUGGGGAAUAUUGGACAGUGGGCGAAAGCCUGAUCCAGCCAUGCCGCGUGUGUGAAGAAGGUCUUCGGAUUGUAAAGCACUUUAAGUUGGGAGGAAGGGCAGUAAGUUAAUACCUUGCUGUUUUGACGUUACCAACAGAAUAAGCACCGGCUAACUUCGUG
rnacentral:rRNA from 1 species